rnacentral:rRNA from 1 species
AUGAACGCUGGCGGCGUGCUUAACACAUGCAAGUCGAACGGAAAGGCCCAAGCUUGCUUGGGUACUCGAGUGGCGAACGGGUGAGUAACACGUGGGUGAUCUGCCCUGCACUUCGGGAUAAGCCUGGGAAACUGGGUCUAAUACCGGAUAGGACGAUGGUUUGGAUGCCAUUGUGGAAAGUUUUUUCGGUGUGGGAUGAGCUCGCGGCCUAUCAGCUUGUUGGUGGGGUAAUGGCGUACCAAGGCGUCGACGGGUAGCCGGCCUGAGAGGGUGUACGGCCACAUUGGGACUGAGAUACGGCCCAGACUCCUACGGGAGGCAGCAGUGGGGAAUAUUGCACAAUGGGCGCAAGCCUGAUGCAGCGACGCCGCGUGGGGGAUGACGGCCUUCGGGUUGUAAACUCCUUUCGCUAGGGACGAAGCGUUUUGUGACGGUACCUGGAGAAGAAGCACCGGCUAACUACGUG